rnacentral:rRNA from 1 species
AUAACGCUGGCGGCGCACAUAAGACAUGCAAGUCGAACGGACGACUUUUAACUUGUUUUACUUGUUAAAGAAGUUAGUGGCGGACUGGUGAGGAACACGUAAAUAAUCUGCCUAUAAGAGGGGAACAACAGUGAGAAAUCACUGCUAAUACCGCAUAAUUCAUAUUGCUCGCAUGAACAGUAUGGAAAAGGAGUAAUCCGCUUAUAGAUGAGUUUGCGUCUGAUUAGCUAGUUGGUGUGGUAAUGGCAUACCAAGGCGACGAUCAGUAGCCGUGCUGAGAGGCAGAACGGCCACAUUGGGACUGAGAUACGGCCCAGACUCCUACGGGAGGCAGCAGUCGGGAAUAUUGCGCAAUGGAGGAAACUCUGACGCAGUGACGCCGCGUAUAGGAAGAAGGUUUUCGGAUUGUAAACUAUUGUAGACAGGGAAGAUACAAGACAGUACCUGUAAAGUAAGCCCCGGCUAACUAUGUG